rnacentral:rRNA from 1 species
UGGGGAAUAUUGCACAAUGGGCGAAAGCCUGAUGCAGCCAUGCCGCGUGUAUGAAGAAGGCCUUCGGGUUGUAAAGUACUUUCAGUGGGGAGGAAAGGUUAGUCGUUAAUAACGGCUAGCUGUGACGUUACCCACAGAAGAAGCACCGGCUAACUCCGUGCCAGCAGCCGCGGUAAUACGGAGGGUGCGAGCGUUAAUCGGAAUUACUGGGCGUAAAGCGUACGCAGGCGGUUUGUUAAGCGAGAUGUGAAAGCCCCGGGCUCAACCUGGGAACUGCAUUUCGAACUGGCAAACUAGAGUUUUGUAGAGGGUGGUAGAAUUUCAGGUGUAGCGGUGAAAUGCGUAGAGAUCUGAAGGAAUACCAGUGGCGAAGGCGGCCACCUGGACAAAAACUGACGCUCAUGUACGAAAGCGUGGGGAGCAAACGGG